UACGUAGGGUGCAAGCGUUGUCCGGAAUUAUUGGGCGUAAAGAGCUCGUAGGCGGUCUGUUGCGUCGGCUGUGAAAACCCGGGGCUCAACUCCGGGCCUGCAGCCGAUACGGGCAGACUAGAGUUCGGCAGGGGAGACUGGAAUUCCUGGUGUAGCGGUGAAAUGCGCAGAUAUCAGGAGGAACACCGGUGGCGAAGGCGACGCCCUGGCUCGUACCUGACGCCCAGCCACGAAAGCAUGGGGAGCGAACGGG
rnacentral:rRNA from 1 species